GGAAGCAUUAUGUCACUGGGGGUGUGGCCUCAAAGGGGUAGUGGGAUGUCUAUCUCUUCUUUUUCCCUUCACUUUCUGGCUGCCAUGAGAUGAGAAGUUCAGCUCUACACACUCUUUGCCAUGAUUUGUUUCCUCACCAUAAGCCCAAAACUAAUGGGGCCAAUCUAUUAUGAAUUAAAACCUAAAUAAACCUUUCCUUUUUAUGAGUUGAUUACAUCAGGUAUUUUGCUACAGUAAUGGAAAGUUGACCAAGAUCACUGAGGGGAAACAACCUUGGUAUUCAUCUACCAACUGUAUUAGUCAAGGUUGAGAGAUCUUGGAGAUGAGUGAGUAAAUGUUCUAAUGUGUUCAGCUUGCAGCAAAAAAAUAACAAAAUUUGUUCCAUAGCAAGAAAAGACCUCAGGCAUAGGAAUUCAGGCACUGACAGGUGGUAAGCAUAGGGGGCAGGGCACCAAUCCAAUAUCAAAGCAAAGAACUGGCUUUCUAUGAGCCAAAGAGUAAAAGGGAAGCAGCAGAAAGCACAGCUUUGGAAUCAGACAGACAUGGCAAGUUAUGCUUGCUUUGUGGUUUAUUGGUUCUGAUUGGCUAGAACCCGCUUGCUUACCCUUCUAUAUUCGGCAUAGAUCAACUUGCAUGUGAGCCAGGAGGACUGAAAAACUCACAUCGCAGGAGGGAUUAGAAGACUCCAGGAAGCAAUGCCUGUCAGAUCUCAACACUGUACUUACCCAGCAGGCAGUUGCUGCUCCAGAUAGACUAGUUCACCUGCCUCCCGAAAACUCCCCUAAAACCCAAUAUUGAGAGGU
rnacentral:lncRNA from 1 species